GAUGAACGCUGGCGGCGUGCUUAACACAUGCAAGUCGAACGAAACACCUUAUUUGAUUUUCUUCGGAACUGAAGAUUUGGUGAUUGAGUGGCGGACGGGUGAGUAACGCGUGGGUAACCUGCCCUGUACAGGGGGAUAACAGUCAGAAAUGACUGCUAAUACCGCAUAAGACCACAGCACCGCAUGGUGCAGGGGUAAAAACUCCGGUGGUACAGGAUGGACCCGCGUCUGAUUAGCUGGUUGGUGAGGUAACGGCUCACCAAGGCGACGAUCAGUAGCCGGCUUGAGAGAGUGAACGGCCACAUUGGGACUGAGACACGGCCCAAACUCCUACGGGAGGCAGCAGUGGGGAAUAUUGCACAAUGGGGGAAACCCUGAUGCAGCGACGCCGCGUGAGUGAAGAAGUAUCUCGGUAUGUAAAGCUCUAUCAGCAGGGAAGAAAAUGACG
rnacentral:rRNA from 1 species